AGGGUCGUGCAAAACAUGCGCAAGUUUCAAAAUUACAUUGGUAGGAUGAUGGAAGUACCCUGUAGAACAUUACAGGAUACAUGAAUAAGAAGGAGCAAGGGUUUGUCAAAAUAGAACUUGAAGAGAAGGAAAUUUUCGAAAAAGAGAGGAAGAGAUUGAUUCGGAGGAAGGAGAAAUAUAAGGAGGAGCGCAAGGGUUUGUCAAAAUAGAACUUGAAGGGAAGGAAAUUUUCGAAAGAGAGAGGAAGAGAUUGAUUCGAAGGAAGGAGAAAUAAGCCGAUAUCAAAAUACAUUACGGAUUGAAAGGCUCCAGCAUGGGCUCAUUCUUCAGCUCAUUAUUCAGCAACAACCUUCCUCCAAACACCAUGCAAAAUCAUAAGCUUCUGUUAGACGCCAUAGGACGCAAGGACUUACAAUCUUUCGAACAGAUUGUGAAGGAAAUGUUGGAAA